UUAUGCGUCUGGACGCAUAAUCCGUCUUCUACAUUAUUCGUCUAGUAUUCUUUGUCCCGUCUUUAUACUAGACGAAUAAUGUAGAAGACGGAUUAUGCGUCCAGACGCAUUAUGCG